GAUUCAACUUUCUUGACACGAGAAUCAAUUCCAACAAAGCCUUCUUCAUCAUAAACACUUAGAAACAGGUUAUUUAAUUUCUUGCCAACAUCAUUGACAAUCUCCUCAAUUAAUUUAGUUUCAGGCUUAAUGAUUCUUGAAUCCCACCCCGAAAUGUUGGCCGUUCUCUUCAAAGCAAGGCUCCAACUCUCCACCUUUUCUAAACGGUGUUUGAAUUUUUUUUUAUGCUGUGAAAGUGCAUCUCCAAAUCUUCCUGUCAACUCUUGA
rnacentral:misc_RNA from 1 species